CGGACGGGUGAGUAAUGUCUGGGAAACUGCCUGAUGGAGGGGGAUAACUACUGGAAACGGUAGCUAAUACCGCAUAACGUCGCAAGACCAAAGAGGGGGACCUUCGGGCCUCUUGCCAUCGGAUGUGCCCAGAUGGGAUUAGCUAGUAGGUGGGGUAACGGCUCACCUAGGCGACGAUCCCUAGCUGGUCUGAGAGGAUGGCCAGCCACACUGGAACUGAGACACGGCCCAG
rnacentral:rRNA from 1 species